rnacentral:rRNA from 1 species
AGUAAUGCCUAGGAAAUUGCCUUGAUGUGGGGGAUAACCAUUGGAAACGAUGGCUAAUACCGCAUAAUGCCUACGGGCCAAAGAGGGGGAUCUUCGGACCUCUCGCGUCAAGAUAUGCCUAGGUGGGAUUAGCUAGUUGGUGAGGUAAUGGCUCACCAAGGCGACGAUCCCUAGCUGGUCUGAGAGGAUGAUCAGCCACACUGGAACUGAGACACGGUCCAGACUCCUACGGGAGGCAGCAGUGGGGAAUAUUGCACAAUGGGCGAAAGCCUGAUGCAGCCAUGCCGCGUGUAUGAAGAAGGCCUUCGGGUUGUAAAGUACUUUCAGUUGUGAGGAAGGGGGUAACGUUAAUAGCGGUAUCUCUUGACGUUAGCAACAGAAGAAGCACCGGCUAACUCCGUGCCAGCAGCCGCGGUAAUACGGAGGGUGCGAGCGUUAAUCGGAAUUACUGGGCGUAAAGCGCAUGCAGGUGGUUCAUUAAGUCAGAUGUGAAAGCCCGGGGCUCAACCUCGGAACUGCAUUUGAAACUGGUGAACUAGAGUGCUGUAGAGGGGGGUAGAAUUUCAGGUGUAGCGGUGAAAUGCGUAGAGAUCUGAAGGAAUACCAGUGGCGAAGGCGG